AGGGGACGUCGGGGUAGUGGCGCACGGGUGCGUAACGCGUGGGAACCUGCCUUUAGGUUCGGAAUAACUCAGAGAAAUUUGAGCUAAUACCGAAUAAUGUCUUCGGACCAAAGAUUUAUCGCCUUUAGAUGGGCCCGCGUUAGAUUAGAUAGUUGGUGGGGUAAUGGCCUACCAAGUCGACGAUCUAUAGCUGGUCUGAGAGGAUGAUCAGCCACACUGGGACUGAGACACGGCCCAGACUCCUACGGGAGGCAGCAGUGGGGAAUAUUGGACAAUGGGCGAAAGCCUGAUCCAGCAAUGCCGCGUGAGUGAUGAAGGCCUUAGGGUUGUAAAGCUCUUUUACUAGGGAUGAUAAUGACAGUACCUAGAGAAUAAGCUCCGGCUAACUCCGUGCCAGCAGCCGCGGUAAUACGGAGGGAGCUAGCGUUGUUCGGAAUUACUGGGCGUAAAGCGCGCGUAGGCGGUUUUUCACGUCAGGGGUGAAAUCCCGGAGCUCAACUCCGGAACUGCCCUUGAAACUGGACGACUAGAAUCCUGAAGAGGCGAGUGGAAUUCCGAGUGUAGAGGUGAAAUUCGUAGAUAUUCGGAAGAACACCAGUGGCGAAGGCGACUCGCUGGACAGGUAUUGACGCUGAGGUGCGAAAGCGUGG
rnacentral:rRNA from 1 species